rnacentral:rRNA from 1 species
AGAGUUUGAUCAUGGCUCAGAUUGAACGCUGGCGGCAGGCCUAACACAUGCAAGUCGAGCGGUAGCACAGAGAGCUUGCUCUCGGGUGACGAGCGGCGGACGGGUGAGUAAUGUCUGGGAAACUGCCUGAUGGAGGGGGAUAACUACUGGAAACGGUAGCUAAUACCGCAUAACGUCGCAAGACCAAAGUGGGGGACCUUCGGGCCUCAUGCCAUCAGAUGUGCCCAGAUGGGAUUAGCUAGUAGGUGGGGUAACGGCUCACCUAGGCGACGAUCCCUAGCUGGUCUGAGAGGAUGACCAGCCACACUGGAACUGAGACACGGUCCAGACUCCUACGGGAGGCAGCAGUGGGGAAUAUUGCACAAUGGGCGCAAGCCUGAUGCAGCCAUGCCGCGUGUGUGAAGAAGGCCUUCGGGUUGUAAAGCACUUUCAGCGGGGAGGAAGGCGAUAAGGUUAAUAACCUUGUCGAUUGACGUUACCCGCAGAAGAAGCACCGGCUAACUCCGUGCCAGCAGCCGCGGUAAUACGGAGGGUGCAAGCGUUAAUCGGAAUUACUGGGCGUAAAGCGCACGCAGGCGGUCUGUCAAGUCGGAUGUGAAAUCCCCGGGCUCAACCUGGGAACUGCAUUCGAAACUGGCAGGCUAGAGUCUUGUAGAGGGGGGUAGAAUUCCAGGUGUAGCGGUGAAAUGCGUAGAGAUCUGGAGGAAUACCGGUGGCGAAGGCGGCCCCCUGGACAAAGACUGACGCUCAGGUGCGAAAGCGUGGGGAGCAAACAGGAUUAGAUACCCUGGUAGUCCACGCCGUAAACGAUGUCGAUUUGGAGGUUGUGCCCUUGAGGCGUGGCUUCCGGAGCUAACGCGUUAAAUCGACCGCCUGGGGAGUACGGCCGCAAGGUUAAAACUCAAAUGAAUUGACGGGGGCCCGCACAAGCGGUGGAGCAUGUGGUUUAAUUCGAUGCAACGCGAAGAACCUUACCUGGUCUUGACAUCCACAGAACUUNUUGGUGCCUUCGGGAACUGUGAGACAGGUGCUGCAUGGCUGUCGUCAGCUCGUGUUGUGAAAUGUUGGGUUAAGUCCCGCAACGAGCGCAACCCUUAUCCUUUGUUGCCAGCGGUUAGGCCGGGAACUCAAAGGAGACUGCCAGUGAUAAACUGGAGGAAGGUGGGGAUGACGUCAAGUCAUCAUGGCCCUUACGACCAGGGCUACACACGUGCUACAAUGGCAUAUACAAAGAGAAGCGACCUCGCGAGAGCAAGCGGACCUCAUAAAGUAUGUCGUAGUCCGGAUUGGAGUCUGCAACUCGACUCCAUGAAGUCGGAAUCGCUAGUAAUCGUAGAUCAGAAUGCUACGGUGAAUACGUUCCCGGGCCUUGUACACACCGCCCGUCACACCAUGGGAGUGGGUUGCAAAAGAAGUAGGUAGCUUAACCUUCGGGAGGGCGCUUACCACUUUGUGAUUCAUGACUGGGGUGAAGUCGUAACAAGGUAACCGUAGGGGAACCUGCGGUUGGAUCACCU